rnacentral:rRNA from 1 species
GUGAGGAAUAUUGGUCAAUGGGCGGGAGCCUGAACCAGCCAAGUCGCGUGAAGGAAGAAGGAUCUAUGGUUCGUAAACUUCUUUUGCAGGGGAAUAAAGUGCAGGACGUGUCCUGUUUUGUAUGUACCCUGAGAAUAAGGAUCGGCUAACUCCGUGCCAGCAGCCGCGGUAAUACGGAGGAUCCGAGCGUUAUCCGGAUUUAUUGGGUUUAAAGGGUGCGUAGGUGGUUUGAUAAGUCAGCGGUGAAAGUUUGCAGCUUAACUGUAAAAAUGCCGUUGAAACUGUCGGACUUGAGUGGAAAUGAGGUAGGCGGAAUGCGUGGUGUAGCGGUGAAAUGCAUAGAUAUCACGCAGAACUCCGAUUGCGAAGGCAGCUUACUAAGCUACAACUGACACUGAAGCACGAAAGCGUGGGGAUCAAACAGGAUUAGAUACCCGAGUAGUCC